rnacentral:ncRNA from 1 species
AGAAAGUUUUAUUUUAGCUUAAAGGAUGGUUUAUUGAUGUACAUAUAUAUUAAUUUUAGUGUGAGUUAUUUUUAAAUAGAAUAAUUGUAUUUUGUAGUAUGUAGUUUUAAGUAUUAAUAUUUAUUAGACUUAGAUAUUCAAUUUAAUAUAAACAAAAUUUGUGCCAGCAGUAGCGGUUAUACAAAUUAUAUUAAUCAUUUUUUUUGAGUUUAAUUAGGAGUAUAAAGAAAAAUUUAAAUUUGGAUUUUUUAGGUGAAAUUUUAAAUUUGAUUUAAAUUUUAUUUUUGUUUCUGAGGUUAGGAAAUUUUAUAUUAGACUAGGAUUAGAUACCCUAUUAUUUUAAAUGUUAAUAUUAAAACUUAAAUUAUUAUAAGUUAAGAUCUUUAAAAUUAAAGAAUUUGGCGGUAUUUUAGUCUGUUCAGAGGAACCUGUUUUUUAAUUGAUAAUCCACGAUAAUUUUUACUUUAAUUUUAAAUUUAUAUAUCGUCGUUUAUAAAAAUUUUAGGAGAAUAAUAAUUUUUAAGAUUUAAAAUUACAAAGUAGUUCAGAUCAAGGUGUAGUUUAUAUUAAAGAUAAAAUGGGUUACAUUAUAUUUAUAUGUGGUUUAUGAUUUUAAAAUUUAGAUUAAAAUGGAUUUGAUAGUAAAAUUUUUAUUUUUGUGGUUUGAUUUAGCUCUAAAAUAUGCACAUAUCGCCCGUCGCUUUCACUUUAAGGUGGAAUAAGUCGUAACAAAGUAGGCUUAUUGGAAAAUGAGCCUGGAAUGAU